rnacentral:sRNA from 1 species
UUCCUACCUAAGCUGAUGGUCUUGAGA